CCUGGCCACUCAUUUGACAAUUUCACAGGCAGGACACGUGAGGAAGGACAGUCUUAUUAUGCAUAUAUGUGAGGACACACACACACACGUAACAUACUUAGACAUAUUAAAAACGUCUAAGCACUUUUCUCCUUUUACGGAAUCACUGCAACCCAUUCACAGUAUGUAAAUUUCACAACGGAUACCACUGAGGAUUCAGAAGGUUCCAUGCGUUACCCAGAGCUGUGGAACUAUGUCCUUUAGAAUCUUGUUUAAAACAGUGAUUCUGUUCCCCCCUUCACAACAUCGCUGCUCUUCUCGGCAUUAGGGUAACUUCAGCGUUUUAAAAUAGAAGCUUUAAAUGACAGACAGUCAUGGAAAUUCGUCAGUGCACUGGGAAUGCAACUACCAGUCAGAGUGCGGCACCCUCCCCCUCUGCUUCCUGGUCUCCAUGAUGUGAGUACCUUUUCCUCCACCAUGCUCCUUGGCCCCACCAUCCCACCUUGAAGCCGGCCAACUGCGGACCAAAACUGUGAGCCAAAACAAAUCUUUUCUACUUUACAUUGCGGAUGUAUCGGCAACAAAGAAAGUGACUAAGAUAGCCUUGCUCAAAAUAGCGACUGUAAUAAACUCCUGUGGGGUCUGAAAUAAGACAUAGCAAGGCUGCUAGGGAUGGUGAGAGCUGGGAGACCAGGCCUCGGGAGUCUGUGUGCACUGUGGGCACUCUGCUGCUGCAGACAGAGCAAGCUGGUCUCACAGGAGGGCAGGAGACAGAACGAGAGAGGCCACACAUCUCCUGAGGGGGAAACAGACAUAAAAACAGAACUCUUCCUAAUGUCUCCCGAGCGCCAGGUCCCAAGAGUCUCAUACAUAACCCGGAGCCUGUACUUAGAUUUCCACAUGAUCUCGCUACUUGUCUUGACAAUAACUUUCUUGUUAAGUGCUUUUCAGUGCUUCUCUGUUCCCCGUCAGCAAAACGUCUCUGCCUAAGGUGGCGGCUAUGGUCUGAGCUCUGAAAGAUCGUGCAAGAGUCCGAAGAUGACUUAGGGACAGUUCUUGCUCCUAAAAUUCUUGGAGUGAGGUGGAAAGCAUAGGGCAAGGUGGAAAACACUUCAAAAAUAAUACAGGGCAGACCGUGUAAAAGACUGUAAGGAAUAAUAAAAGGAAAAUAAAAGAAUGUCUUGUUCAGAUUGGAUACAUCUGAGAUUUUCUAAAUAAGGUAAACUUUUCACUGGACAUUAAACAAUAUUAGGGUUUCAAAAGUAAGGACAAGUGGGGAAUCAUGUCCUAAUGCAAAGAAAAAGUAUCAGCAAACACAAUGGCAGAAAAAGGCAACUCUCUAAAGAACAAUUGUUCUGAAAUGAUUUUAUUGUGCAGUACAUGUAAGUGGGAACAUUUAAGAGGAGACAGAAUAAGUAUAAUUAUGGCACAGGGCAUGGAACAUAGAACUUUUGUGUAGCCUUAUGGAGAAGCUUUGGGUUUUUGUUUUUUUGUUUUUUCUCUUUCUUUCUUGGUUUCUUUGUUUUUCUUUGUUUCUUUCAUUGCUGGGGAUCAAACCCAGGGCCUUUAAGGACGAGGCAAGCACUCUACCACGAAGCUACAUCUCUAGCCUCAUAGAGAUCUUUAAUUUCAGGAAUUAUUUUUUAAUGUGAGCCUGUAAUAAAAUUCAGUAUCUAGUUUUCACCAGAAGUAGAGAAAGUCAAAGUAAGACAGCAGUAAAAAAAGGCUAAUUAUUAGAGGCUUGAUCAUAGACAGCUGCAAAAGGCCUCCAAGAGAUUUUUCUGGAUUAAAAACUGGAGCAAGAGUCAAGAGAAUCAGUUUACUAGCAAACUAGUUCCAAGGUGGCACUGGACAAGGCUGAUGACGGAAUCCUCGGAAGAGAUGGUCCAGGAGGAGGGAAGGAGAUGGAGUGCAGAGUUUAAAGCAUGUGAAAAAGCAGAAAUUUGGGAACGGCAAGAAAGAGUGAACGGAAUUGAUCUCCAGGUUCCAAAGGAACACGGUUAUAAAAUACCUGGAACAAGGGAUCUGCCUUUGUGGUAAAGGAAGAAUUUCUUCAGGUCACAGAAAUGGCCAGCAUAUGAAGGUGACCCAGUACGCUCUUGAAGGUUAGACCGGUAUCUGGGGCACUCCGUGGACGCUUCCUUGGGUCUCAGCUUUGUUUAGAUACCCUAGGAAAGAAAAUUCCUUCCUGACCUAACCCCUGUGAAGGAUAUCAAGCCCAACCAAAGUAAAUCUCAGAGGUCUAUGUUUCUGAAAAAGAAUUAGUGCCUUUGAAAGUGAAAAGUGUUAUUCUUUUUCCCCUUAAUAGACCAUGAUAAAUUUAUAAAUGGAUGUCAAGUGCUCCAGCAGUCUAGGGUUUAAAAUAUCAAUCUAUGGACCGUAUAAUUUAUGGAGCACUUGCUGCAAAUCACUUGACCCAUUUCUGCCUUUUCCAAGAGACUUAAAUAAUUACUUGGUGCGUGGCGGUGCUUAAAGCACUCAGAAAUUAUUCAACAAAGUGUGUUUAUAUGCUGUAGGCCAGGAGGGAGUCAAGUGUUGAUACGAGAGACAGUCAUUAAAAGAAGAUAUUCCUCUAUGGCCUCUAAAUUCAUGGUUUUCUCCUCCUGGGACAUAACAGUAAUUUCUCAUAAAAGUAACCUCAAGUAUGAGCUGACUCAUUGUGUUCUCUCUUGGGUGCAAAACAAAAAAGACUGCACUAUGUUAUUCUGGUAUUUCAUGUUAUUUGGAAAAUUGUCUAAUACUUGCAAAAGUUAAAAUAUUACAUGAUAUAAACAAUUAAGAGCUCUAUGAGCCAGGAAAAUGAUGAACACGUCAAAUAUUCUAGAUGUUUCCAAUCAAAAUAAUGUAUCAAAAUAUAAAAAGCAACCUUAUCACUAAUAAAAUUAGGGAAGGGGCAAAUCUUUUAUCAUAGACUAUGAAAACCAUCUGCCAGCCAGUACUGAUUUCCUUAUCUGAAUACACAUUUCACAAAGAAUCUUAAACUAGAAGGGUCUGAAGGGCUGGCUGGCAGUAUUUUGUUCAGAAGACAGAAAUGAAAGAGAAAUACUAUGCACAUCGCGCCAUGCAAAUGACUUGCUAUAACGGAGAAGGUGCCAGCUUUGUAACCAGAGCCAAGGUUAACCUCCCUUUUUUGAGCAGCAGAGGCAUUGAGAAAUCACAUAAUCUCUCAAGUCUCCAUUUCUGUUUUUGUAAAGUAGAAAUCAGACACACAUAUCCUUUCACCAGGUUGUUUUAAUGAUUAUAUAACAUCGACAAGGCUGGAAAUUUAGCACAGUGUGAGCACUGUAAAUAUUAGUCCCAUACUCUUUCCAUGCACUGCAUCACCCCGCCAGGAUCCAGCCCACAGCAAUCAUGCUGCAGAACCAGGUAAUCUGAGCUACGGGAACUCAACUCAAGAGUCACAUUCUCUACAAGGCUUCUUUUAAAUCUGUGGUGUGCAAAAUACAGCUUCAGUUAGAAACAAAAGGCUCAAUAGGAAAGUAGGGGUUAUUUUAGAUAACAAUGAGUUGACAUUCUCAAUAAUUCAAGAGUCAGGGAAAGUGACAGUUUUCUAUUGCUGUUAUUUAUUUAAAAUAUAAGCCAUAGUUAUAACUUAGAAACAAUCACAACUGACCUGUCUUUCUAGGUUCUAUAGAAGCCUACCGUUACAGUUUAGAUCUAGGAUGUUUCCCAGCAGUCUUCUGGGCUUAGGAGGAGGCCUCUGGAAUAUGAUUGGAUUGAGGAGGCCCCGCCCUCCUCCAUAAACCAAUCCUCCACCCCCACCCCGUGUGCUCAUAGCCCAGUGUGCUGUUAGAAAGUACAGCCUGGUUGGAGGGCAGGUCACUGGGGGCGUGGCCUGUGUGGUGCUCCACCUCCCUGGCUCCUCCCCUCCCGCUGCUUCCUGACUGCCCAGGCUUGAGCUCCUCUUACUCAACCAGGGCCCGGCACUAUCUUUAUUUCUCCAUGAAGUCAGGCGACUGCAGAUGGAAACCACAGACCAAAGUAAACUUCUGUUCCUUUAAAUUGUUAGGUGUUUUUUUUUCAGCAACGAGAAAGUGACUGACAAGAAAUGUGUAAAUUAUUCUCCAACGAUUUUGAGAAAUCUCAUCCAUAUUUACCCAACGUAACACGACUUGGGAGCCAUGUAUGUGCCUGUUCGCAUCACAAGACAAAUAAGCAUUAUGAAAGAGAGCAAUGCCACAACCUAAGAGUUGGCUGAGCAAAAUAUUGAUUAUACUCGCAGUUCCUUAAGGAGAUCCUGGCUUUUAUUACAAGUGUGCAAAUAACAAGUUCACGGGCUACCACCCCCCACUUGAGGCUGCAUCCAGACACCUCCAAGGCUUGGCUUUGCAUGUGUUUUAUCACCUGCCCCGGACACCUGGCCUCUCUGGCUCCCAUUAGGAAUCGCAGAAGGGUGUUCGCGAUACAGUAGUGAAGGAAGAGUUAAGUGUUCGCCCGCAAGGCUGUUUACAACCUGGAGGGCAGCGGUGGAGAAUGAAAAGCAAUCUCGGGCCUCUCGGAGGCUGCUCAGUGUUAUGGGGAGAAUAAAGAGGCAUCAAGAGCGGGGUCGCAGGAUUGCUCCAGGAAGAUGAAGAUGCUGAAACUAAGACCCAAGGAAAUGCAGUGAGCUGCCCCCAGUCUCAGGGAGAGCACCUGUGCAGCUGAGAAUCAAACCCGGGUCUUGUGGACCUCGCUCUUCUGUGCAGUUCUUGCUUUCUGUCUUCACCUGAGUGUCUAGAUUUGAACUCAGGACCGUGCGCCUGCCAGGCCGCAUUUUCGCCUCCCAGCCUGUCCCUGGGCCCUGUGGCCACUUCCUGCAGCAGCUCUGGAAGUCCCCGUCAUGAAUGCUUUAUGAGGUGUUAUUAAAAAAGACACCGCGAACGCUGCCGCCCAGGACCUUCCGAGGAAAGGCAGCUCCCGGGACCCCGCACCGCGCAUCCACCGAGGAAAACACGGAUCUGUAGGGGGCGCGGGGAGCCGCCGUGCAGCUGCAGACGCUCAGGCCUGCAGAGCGGCUUCGGGACUGGGAGGAGGACGGGAGCAAGCCCCCAAACCGGGGCAGGGGCCCAGGGGGUCAAGGCAGCGCGUCUCCCCCUGGAAUAAAUCUGAAAAGGGCUGCGCUUCCACCGCGUUUUCUGGCCGCGUCUGAUGGGAGCACGGGGCUCGUGGCCAGGCUACGGUGCCCCCGACCCUGGAGGCACCGCUGCACCGCGCACAGGGGAGCUCUCUGGACACGCCUUCCCUGGACCUGUGCUCUUCAGUCUUCUGCUGUUCAGUUUUGCAGAUCUACAGUGCUUAGUUGCCACGUUAUCUCUUCUAAAUUUGCUCAUGUUUUGUCUCUUAAAAAAAAAAAAAAAAAAAGAGUGCUUUCAAAUUUUCCCCCUUAGUGACACUUUACCUAAAGGAGAUAACCUGAUGUUUAGAUCGAUGCUCACAAAUAGAACUGUAUGUUUACAUUUUAAUGUAACUGUGUCUGAUAGAGAAACUUCUCUUAUUUUUUUUCUGACCAUCCUCAUUUUUGGAGGAUCUCUUUCUAUAGGCCACUAUUUGUGGAAUUCAUAAAGGCUGCAGUCCUAUCAGGAAAUUUAAUUAACUGGAGUUUGUCACCCUUCUAGAACACCAGGGGACUUUAUAUCUACUACAGCUUUCUGCUAAAAAUAUUACCAGCUGGACUUAUGAUAAGAUUCAUCCGUGAAAAUUAAUUUCUGUUUCUGUUUAUCCCACAAUUAAUUACCUUAUCUGUAAAAAUUAUACCUUCCAUGCUGAUCACAUUCAGCCACUAGUUUUAUGAAAACACAAAACUAAUUAUAAUGGCCAAACACUUGGAAGGCGUAUGUCUAGUUUGUCUCCUUAAUUCUUAUAAAUAUAGCACAAAUAUCUCUUAUAAGAGAUAACAACAACUGUAACACAUAAAAUUAGAAUUAUGCAGAUAACGCAUCCCAGGAAACAUCCCUUCCUCCUUCAAUGAGUUGAUCAAAAAACAUUCUUGGGACUUCUUGGAUUAGUGACACUUGUCUGUUCUAACUUGAGAUAUUUAAGAAAUGUAAGGAGGGGGUGAGUGUGGAGGUCUCAUUUUUCCUGAUGGUUCUGGCUACGGAAAGCUGGUGACAUCCCCAGCAAAGUCCAUCAGGAUCCUGGAGACGCCCUGGGAGAAGACAGGCUUGAAGACCUGGAAGGGGAAACCGUCUUCCCGGGAAGUUUCUGACACCAGGGAUGUGGCUGGGAAAGCUAAGAGGUUUAUCUUGAGGCCGUGACGGGAGAAGGACAGAAGGCAGAGGACCGGCUGGCUCACUUUGUGCCCCAGGGCACACAGAGCCUGGGUCUCUAGGCCAAGGCCCCCGGUGGCAGAUCUGCUGGUCUCCUGCAUCUCCAGCCCCAUCACAGCGCACACUGGAAAUGUCGUUCUCUUUUGUCAUAAAGUUUUCUUUGUGUGCGUGUAUGAGUUUUAACUCAGCUGUGUGAAACCAUCACCACCACAACAAUCGGGACACAAAUAAACCCAGUGAUCUUUAAAAUAGCUCCCUGGCGCUCUUUGGUGGUGAAGCAAUCCUCUGGCCUCUAACCUUUCGGGGCCACCGAGCUGUGCUUCGCUUGUACAGUUCUGCUUUUUCUAAGAUGUGGCGUAUCUGGCUCGCAUACUUUAAGCACAUACUGAAUGUCACAAGUUAAUCCAUGGGUGGGAAACCAAGUUAAGGAAACUAGUUAGUCUCAUAGAGGAAUACUAUGGUCAGUGAUGCAGGCAUGCAGAGUUCUGGCACCCAGUGCCAGAUCUUGUGGUCCCGUGGCCAGCUGCUUAGGAAACUGGACCUGGCCUCCCACUCUCUGAUGGACAGCAGCAUAAUGUGCUGCCUUAGUAAACUCAGUUAAAACCACUGCUGAUGGGAGGUGGCUGGAACAGCGAUGUCUACUGACGAGCAGGCGGCACCUCCAGGAUCCUGCGGAAACGUGAAACACUUAGGGAGACAGCUCUGUGGCGUUAAUCAAAGACUUUCUGGAAGGAGGUCAUUAGUUGUGAUAUUUAUUUGCAUAGAAAAACUAAAUUAUCUUAGGUUGUCCUAAGCACACCCAGAAAAUUUAAUCGGUUAAUUUAAAUCUGCAAAAAGGUUAAUGUGGCUAUAGUGAUGCCGCAGCUCUGGGGACCCCGCGGCUUUGUCUGGCACUUCUCACGGGGAUGCGGUUCAGGGUCCUGGCUCACGUUUCACGCUGAGCACCCCAAGCCCUCUGCCCUUCUCCUUCCUUCCCGUCUCUUUAAUCCCUUCCUUUCUUCUCACUCGUCUGCUGUCUUCAGUCACAGGUUCCUGCACUGUCAGCUCGAGGACAAUGGGAACCACGCAUGCAUUGCCCUCCGCGCUGGCCUGUGCGGGUCCUGCCGUGCGUGGGAGCCCGAGCCUUUUCACUGCAACGUGCUGCUUCCUGUGAAGGCACUGGUAGUGGCGGACUGGUUGGCACGUGCCAAGGGAGGAGGGUGACAGGAGCUCGUCAGAGAAGCCAGAAUCACAUAGGCAUCCCGACCUCCCGGCGAGAAGCAGCACCAUCAGACAAGCCCGCCCUUGUUCCAGGCCUGCCUGCUGGGGUCCUGGCCUUCCUGGGGAGUAACGAGUUCCCCACGGGGCCAGGACAUCGGGGGAGGCACGGCUGGGGUCUGAGCCCAGUGACCACAGCGAUGGCCUUGCAGAGCCUGGGAGCCUCUGUGCAACACAGGCACCGAUUUUAAAAUCCCAGUUUGAAAGCUGAACAGGCACUUAGAUAUUUCAGAUACAGCACUGGCAUCUGAACAUGCCCUCUGAGUGUAAUCAAGUAACAGCAGCCAGGUUUGUAUCCAAGCAGAACUGUCCAGUGGCCACCAGGGACUGAAAUAAGGCCAAAGGAUGACCUGCGGUGGACAUUCUGCAAGGGGAGGGCACCACAUGGCUGUCUAGACAGAAUUUAAUGAACAAUUAUCCCAUGAAUGGUGAACACCGCCCCAUGGGAACUGACAGGGAAAGUGAUGCCACUGGGUUUCUUUCCUCAGAGUCCCAGAGUCUCUUCUGGUGCUGGGCAUGUACUGGGCGGUGGAGCUGAGGGUGAUCAGCAGAGUGAGGUGUUUAGUGGUCCAUUGUUGGAGUGGAUCCCAGGCUGUUGGGCACCCCUAAACUCAACCUCUUCUCUUUGUAUGAUUCCAGCCUCAGGUAAUGCAGGGGCUAUAGCCAGGAGCCCGGGCUCAGCAGUCAGGGGCAAGGAGACAGAAGACUGAGGAGUCCCUGCAACUGGUGGCCUUCCAGUGCAAUCUCAGGCAUCUGCCUGGGGGCCUAGGGUCAGGAUCCUAGGGGGAGGGAGGCAAAGCAGGUGGGUGUUAGACCUCAGCGCCUGGGCUGGAUUCCGCAUGGAGCUCUAGACGCAGGCGGCAACUGCAGGAAGGCUAGUGAUGGAUCCUGAGCAGAGUUUCAAGUUUUCAUCCCAGGGUAUUGGAGGUGAGUAGCUUUUAUAUCUAAAUGGAUUUACAGAGCUCAACUGCGAAGCAGGGCCGGUGCUCCGGAAUCCUCGCCCGGCUUACACUGUAGCCCAGGCUGCAGCAGGAAGCCCAGAUUAGAGAGCCAUGAUGCCUGCCAAGGUGGCCGGGAAGAAGGGACGUUGGCAAGAGGUCAGCCACUUCCAGUCCCCAGGGUGCAGGGUGCAGAGUGCACACGGGCAAACCUUCUCAGGCGAAGCUGAACAGCAAACAACCCCGCUGAGAGCAGCAAGACAGGCCCGGGAAUGACUUUGCAAUUCAGAGUUCUUUCCUGUGAAGGACUUUGGCUUAUUAAACUGCUACUUACAUUUCCAACAUUGGGAGGUAAAAGACAGAUAAAAAUUAUAUCUUUAUUACAAAUUAGUCCACAGGCUGUGGCAAAACUGCCAUCCGUACUCACGCGGUGAUGGUGCAUUCCCCAAGGGUUAGUCACAGGCUCUGAAAGAGCUCCUUCUGCAAACAGACGCAGCUCUAUUGUUAUGUUUUAGUCUGACUUUCUUGGAAUGCUUCAGGCUUUCUUCAGCAAUUAAAAAAGAAAGCAUUAAAAGACAUGUUGGCCUAACAAUUUUGAUAAAAGAAACACGAGCUAAGAGGCUCAGUGAUAUUAUCCUACGGAUAUUAGUGGCUAUUGUUCCUCUGAAGUGCCUAUAAAAACAGCCGCUGCCCUUCCCUAAGUUGCAUGACGUUGACAAUAACUUUUAACUUGUGUUUCUUCAAAGUUUAAAAAAGAAUCAGAAAAAUAUUUAAUCUGUUCAGUUCCUUUUGUGUUGUGCCAAAACAUAUCUUAGAAUUUCAGGGAGUGGACCUAGUUGAAUAAAACCUAAAGAUCAAAGGCAAUGUUUAGAAUUUGGGUAGGAAACGUACAAAGGAAAUUUAAAUAAUACCCAAAAUAAACAAGUGGGGAAUUCGGGAUAGGACUCCACAGCACAGGCAGCAACUUCUGAACUCCACUGGGACUUUUUGUCACCAAAUGUUCAAGUCUAAAUGAUGUUAUUUAUGCUUGGGGACUGGGAGGAUUAAGUGAGAUCAUUAAAGCUUGAUCUGGAAUUGUACAGAGCCACAUACUUCAAGGUCAACAGGAUGAGAUCUGGACCUGCAGUUUCCUGGGCUCCCACAGAGCUUCAGAGCAUGCAAGAAUUUGGGGGGCCUUCUCUUUAGUUGCAUGGGAGUGGGAGCUGUCAUUCCCUACAUUUCCAACAUUGGGAGGUAAGAGAUUGUUGUGUCCACAGCCUACUCUUAGGGCAUGAUCUUCCUUGGCUCUCAAUAUCGGGGAUCUAUCUUUCAGGACAGACAACCAUCCCCAAACUCAACCAUGGACAGAUUGAUUUAACUAAGUUUAUUAAUCAGUAGAUAAUUAUUCAUCAGUAGUGAAUCAUCUUCCUGGACAUUCAGCAUAGUUGAUCAGGUGUUGUUCUGGACUACAAGGUCACACUGCUAACUAAGCAGGUGGCAUUUCCACCCUAGGAAAGGAGUCUCUUUUGGGCUAAAUCCUCUGUGCUGACCCUGGGCUUCUGCAGCUGGACCUGCAGGGCUGUUGCUUCUCUCUGGUACAGCCCCAACACCCCUCCCCCCGCACUCCUGGGGUGGGCUUUGUGCACUGCUUUUUUUCUCUGUUGCCUUUCCAUUUCUCCAUCAUUUUUAGGUUUCCUCUCCACUACCUGGACCUCUUUGGUCUUGCUAAGUGGCAGUUUUCCAGCUGUCUCAAUUCCAGAUCACAAGAGGCUGUGACCUACUCCCUGGUCCUCCCCCCCCCCCCCCCGUCCUGUUUCUCUGGAUGUGUUUUUCCCAUACCGUGCUGCAUUCUCUGCAUUGUGGUUUCCAACCACGCCAGAUACUGGACUCAGGGUGAGCAGCUACGAAUCUAGGUUCCCAUUCUCUGCAAUGGAGGCAGAAAUGGGCGUUCCAAUGCCGGCCCUUGGGUGGGGUGCAGAGGCUGGGCUGGCAGGUGGAGCAGCCAUAGAAGCCAGCUGCCUGGAGAGGAGGAAGUAGAUACGGCCCGAGGCCCAUGGAGAAGUGAGGCUCACACCCAAGACAUCCCUAAGGCUGUCCUGCCUUGUAUUGCUUUGAAACACACAGAGUGUGAGACCCCUGUCGGUGGCUGAAGCAGGGGUGUGGGGCUUGAUGGUGAAGGCAUGAAAUGGGCUGACAGAUGGGCAGCCCCAGUGAUUAAACUUGGGAGCAAACAGGAGGCCAGAGAAGAGGGGAAAGGAGCCCCGUCCUGUGUGAAGAUGCAGGGUCAGGCUGGGCAAGGACAAAUGGAAUACUGUAGGCCCAAAAUGACUCUCUUCUGAGUGAACCAGAGUGUUGUUCUGGUUAUCCAAAAAAGCAAUGAUUCAGCAGCCCAGCGGCCAGUCCUGAGCCCUUGAGAGCACGAAACAACAGGACUUUGUGUGUACUUCUCAUCAGAAGUGAGGCUUUUCCGAGUGAUGUUCAACCUAGAUGUAGUUCAUAUCAUGCAUCCAUCAAAGUCAUAAAAGUUCUUCCUGAGGAGAAAAUAUUUAGCAAGAACAGCUGUUGUGGAAAUAUUUUAGGUAGAUCUGUGAACACCUUUUAUAAGAGAGCUACUUCUGGGAUUACUGAUAUCUGUAUGUGGUACAUUAACUGAUGGUCAGCUUGGAACCCAGCUGGACCGCUUCAGCAUCAUGCUGGGUGUGGAAGGCCCACCUGAGCAUCGAUGCUGACAGCGAGCAAAGAGCUGGGGGGUGGGGGAAGCUGGUGAGCUGUUGGUUCUCCUGGAGAAGCUUGUGAUGCUGGUUUUCCUGAUAUGAACUUGGUUGUUCUCAUUAUUGGAGGAGCCCAGGUCCUCGCUGUUGCUGAGGAUGGCUGUGGUUCACUUCGGUGGAGCUCUGAUCUGUAUCUUGAGUGUCACUUCCUGGCUCCAGUGCAGAUCCCUCAGAUCUGCUGGUGGGUGCAGAUCGAUCCUUCAUCCCUCUGGCACACUUUCUAGCUUUCACUGCUGACACUGGGGCCUUCCUAGUGCAGAUCCUUGGUACAAACUUGCAAGAGACAUGGUCGUGGGCUCUAGGGUUCCAGCUGGACUCAUGGAGGACACUGUGGUGGGAUUCAGACCCUCAGCUGGAUUCUUUGGAUCUCCAGAGCCCAGGCAGAUAUCUUGCACUCUUUUGCUUUUGACUCUUUUUUUUUUUUUUUUUUUUUUUUUUUUUUGUCUUUUUUGUUUUUACAGGUACCGGAGAUCGAACUCACAACUGCCUGCUUUUAAGGCAGGCGCUUAUGCCACUGAGCUAAAUCCCCAGCCCCUUGCUUUUGACUCUUUGAGUGCAUAUUAUAAAAAUAAUGCUAUAAAUUAUGUGUCCUCUCUUAAAUCUUUUCCCAUGUAAACCCUGACUACAGCACCUUACAGAUUGUUUUCUUCCAAAGAUGACUUCCACAACAGACCCUCUCUUUCAUGGCGAUUUCAGGCUGUGCAACUGCCAACUCUCUCUCAGCUGGUAGGUUCCAUGCCUUUCCCUCUGAGCUGUGAAGCUUUUGUGCAUGAUGUGUCUAAUGCAUUGCUGACAAGUGAGGCUUCUGCAUCGUUGGAGCCAGGGCAUACCUUGCACACUGCGCUCCUGGGGUGGCCAAAGCCAGGAAUCAGCCCUCUAGCUGGGAGGAGCCUCAGGAAGUUUGGACCAGCGGCUGCCACCAAGCUUCUGCCUCUCCAUCUGUAGUCACCAAACACUAAGUGUGUGCGUGGCUGUCAGCCCAGUCAGCUCCAGUGAGGGUAGCCCAAAUCUACUUGUGAACACCCACUGGCCCAAGAAGUGGAUAUAAGAUGCUUCACAGUUCAUAUUUCUAGGCAAAACACAUGGCUUUUGAGAUUUUAAGCUUCUGAAUUUAGAGUGAUUGUUUUUUUAGUAGGUUAUGGGAACAAGCCACAGACAGAAACAAACAAACAGAAAUUUGCAUCCUGUAAAUAUCACCUUGAUAGAGACAUUUCAUCCAGGGAAAUCCUCCUGCUCCUGUCUCAUUUUCCUCUCUGGUUUUGCCAAGGGAGGAGGAAACCCAGCAAAUGCGUAAAACAUUUUUCCAUAUUUGACUAAAGUUGGCUUCAAAGUUUAAAAACAUUAUUAGCUCCUCCCUGGUAAGCAGUGGUGGGGUGGCAGACUGCAGCCCUUCCAGGGGGAGAAUCACCAGCAGCUCCUGAGAUCCCCGCCAUGUUGGAACUUAGGACGCUAUGAAACCAAGCAACCAGCCUGCCUCCUUGCUAAGCAACAGUGAAGCUACUGGUGCACGGCCUACAGUCAAACAUCCCACUUCCCCUACCCCCCUUCUCCUGUGCCCACCAUUAGCAAAUGGGAACCAGAAAUCUGAGCGUCUCCUGGGAGGUUGGCCAUAGCAAAUAAGGGAGACUUCCUUCUACUGUCUCUUUGAAGGCAAAUAUUUUUAUUACUGUUUUGCUCUAUUCUGAUUAAUGGUACUGCUCUAUUCAAUAUUCUGUUUUGAUAAGUUCCAUAAUGUUCUGUAUUUCAUCUCAUUUUGAUAUAUGUGAUUGAAAGAAUGACUGUUAUAAAGAUAAUGAAAUAUACAGUGAUACCUAUUACUGUUAUCCCAGUAACCUGCUGUGAAGUUCUGUAUCAAUUUCACUGUACGAUCUUAGUUGGCUUUAUUCUGUCUUGUUCUGUGUAUUUUACCAUUUUCAAAAUAAAAUUAAAAAAUAUUAUUAGCAAUAAAUGUAGGCUUCUAAUGCAAAAUUUACUUUGUGAAUUAUUACUAAAUUUUAAGUGUUUAUAUUUUCUUCUGAAGAUUAUUAAGCAUUGUGCAUCAAAGAUUAGACCAAGCCUUAGGUAGAACUGUGCAUGUGUAGUAAGUAAACGUCAUUCCGAAAUGCUAACUUUCCCCCCCAGAAAUACAAUUUGCUAAUGUAGAAGUGUCAGAGCAAAGUGACAGUUAGAAAUGACAGUUUAUGAUUCAAUCCGGAAGUCUUUGAAAAGCUUAAUUACUCAUUCAAAGAAAUCUCUAGUUUUCUGGAAAUGUCUUCUGUAUCAAGAAAAGUGAACAUUUCAUCAUAACAUCUUAAAUUAAAAAAGGGAAUCACAUAACAUUUAUACUUGUGUCUAGUUAAAUAUCUAAACCUUCAAUGAUAGUGCAUUGAUUUGCCAGGAAAACUUAAAAAAUCUUGAGAAAUACUAAUAAGUCUGGCUUAAAAUACUCCUGGAGUGACUCAGUAUUGUGCAUUUGAGAAAUUCCUUUUUAGAAAUCAAAAGGAUUAUUUAGCUCAGUUUGACUAAAAUGGCAACUGAAAAUGACUGCGAGCUUCUAAAAAGAGGCAUGGAAAAGAAACGACUCCGGAGAAAGAUCAUUAGCUGUGCUGUGCGCUGCGUGUGUGUGAAACACACGAGCUGUGGUUCUCACAGGGUGUGGAAGAAGUGUGUGUUGGGGGGACCCCCACACACUCGCUGCUCCCACGGAGAGGAAGCAUUUCCCACACAGCCUCCCGGUCACUUCCCGAGCUCCGGGGUGGGAACCUCAGGGUGAGGCUGGCCAGGCACGGGGUGAGGGGGGGACACUCAGAGACAGAAUAAGGAAAGGGGCUACCAAUGGGCUUUGACCGACUACUUUUGUGUGGACGUGAUGGCUCUAUAGUGAGGGUUUAGGUGAAGAGCUCAAGGAAAGUAGUGACACAGAGAAAAGAGCAUAAAUCUGAGAGGAGAAAAAUGGUGGGAGCUGCUUAGCUUACAAAAUACUGUUUUGCAUCUGAUCAUGAGUUGUUAGGGCUUCAAGAUCUGAUUCCGUGAAGGAUAGGUGAUGUUGUUAUGUUACAAAGGCGCUCGAUGCAAUUUCUACACAUUUUAAAAAGCUGCCUUAUGCAAUUUAAAGAUGAUAAAAAAAUGAGUGAUUUUCCUUUGAAGUAGAAAAUGUUAGUUUGGAGCAUAAUAAAUAAUACUUUAGGUGCUGCUAGUUUAUUCUUGGUAAUGUUCUUUUUAUAUUAGCAAUUUCACUGGGUUUUGUGAUAGAAAUGCUAUUAACAUGUAAAAACUUCUCUGAGCUGCAUCUGAAAAGACAGAUUGCUCCUUGAGUGCUACUGUGAUGCCAUUUGCUUCUGGACCUCCUCACUAACCCCUGACCUUAGGUCUUCUGGGUUUCUCUCUCCCCCUCAAAGGGCUUGGCCCCCCAUCUCUCUUUCUCCCUCUUCAGUCUGCACCCUUAUCCCCAAGGCUGGCUGAGGACCCCCCGAGCUGCUGGGUGAACACCUCAGGUUAUUGUGCAAACACCUAGUUCCUCUCCAUUGUCUUCUGGUAUGAAAAGCUGAGUCCCUGUGAACCGUGCUCGCUUUGAUUUCUGGUGUAACUUUGCAUUCAAGUCAAGACGGAAGUUCAUAAAUUCCUUUCCCAGCCAGGACAAAGACUACUCCAGAUGCUUCCACAAAUAACAGUAAGCUUUAGGGGUCUCCUGGAUGCCUACUUUCCAUCUGCAGGUGCUUUAAGACAGUGCUUGGAGCAGGGACUCUGGGAGGAUUCUUGCACUUCGCCACCCAUCAAUAUUUCAGUCUUCUGGAAGCCUGGCCCCUCCCGAAGUCCGGAGUCCUGAAAUGUCGGGACAUUCUCCCUCCUGAAGGAACAGCUCCUCGUGUGUGCAAAAGGUCUCCCUUCAACUCACUUGCUGUGUCCUCCUUAGCAUUAAAAAAUAAACAGAAGCGACACAUCCUUAAAAUAACCAUCUGAACUCCAGCCACCUGUGCCUCGCCGCAGCUCUCUAAAUGAAUGAACUGUCAAACAUCACACAGAGGUGGGAAUUAAAACUGCUGAACUCAGGCAUUAGAGACGAUAGACUGCUUCUUCAGGGCCACCUGUCUGCCCGGGAUCACACAGCUGUGGUGACACCAGUGUAUUAAAACAUUCCCUGUGCAUAGCGCGGGCUCCAUGCUACAUUACUUAACCUCCGGGAGGCUACAGACCUCCAAGCCAUCAUCCAAUUAAAGCCCACACUCUUCCAGUGAGCUACUGCCUUAAAAGAAAAACCUGCACAACGGGGAAUUCACCAGCAAGACACGUCGCAUUGGCACGAUGAACGAACAGAGAUUAAUGGUGCAUUUUGUGGGACUGUGAGCAUUUUUAAUGAAGUAGCACUUAGUUCAAUGCAGUGUUUACUUAUUAGCUGCUUAACAGCUCUAAUAUUGGUUUUCAAAGUGCCUGUUUACCUUGCAGUAAAAGAGACAUUGAUGUCCUGCUUCACUUCCUGCAGAGCAGGAUUCUAAUAAACCUUAGCUGCAACUGG